rnacentral:lncRNA from 1 species
CAUGGAAGUAGCAGAUGAUGCAGAGGAGUCAGAGCGAGAAGCGCAGGCACCGACAGUGACGUGGUUGAAAGGCACGGGCCGCGGCAUGAAUGAUUCUCCUCUGCAGGCCAAGCUUUGUUCUCGACGACGAGCUUUACCUAACCUAGGAGCUUCAAGGUGCUGAUGGGAAGAUCAAAGGAAACUGGACUGGCAAUGGCCCCCCUUUUUCCUAUGUGCUGUGUUCUGUUCUGCCGGCAAGUUCAGAUGAAACUGCAGACGGGGGCUAGCUCCAGGUCUUUGCACUUUCUGGAGUAGUUUCCAAAUCAAAUAAAG